rnacentral:tRNA from 1 species
GGUGGCUCAGUGGUAGAGUGCUUGACUUGCAUCAUGAGGCCCUGGGUUCAAUUCCUCAGCACCA